UACGAAGGGGGCUAGCGUUGCUCGGAAUCACUGGGCGUAAACGGUGCGUAGGCGGGUCUUUAAGUCAGGGGUGAAAUCCUGGAGCUCAACUCCAGAACUGCCUUUGAUACUGAAGAUCUUGAGUUCGGGAGAGGUGAGUGGAACUGCGAGUGUAGAGGUGAAAUUCGUAGAUAUUCGCAAGAACACCAGUGGCGAAGGCGGCUCACUGGCCCGAAACUGACGCUGAGGCACGAAAGCGUGGGGAGCAAACAGG
rnacentral:rRNA from 1 species